rnacentral:tRNA from 1 species
GUUAGGUUAGUUCAGUGGGUAGAACGACAGAUUGAUAACCUGUAAGUCAUGGGUUCGAAUCCCAUACCAAACUCCA